GGCUCACAGACUUUUGUGUCUCAUCGUGUAGACAUCUGCUUGUGGCAGCCCCCACGAGUAGCAGUAACAGCAGCAUUUUUCUUCAAGCAUCUCCGUAGCCUGCCCUGGACCCUGUCUUCUGUUCCCUCUUCCCUGCCCCACUUACCUCUGGCCCUCCUCCCUUUUCUACCUAUCUCCAUGUCCCCUCCACCCUCUUACUUAUUUUUUCAGGAUUUGAGUGUUGUUGACUAAAUCCACAGUUCCUGCCAGGAGGUCGGAUGUGAACUACAAGGGCCAGAACUGCCUCCUCCUCGGGUGCUAGAGGUGGAGAGCUGGGCGAGGCACAGUGUUAUUCCUGAAGCCACAACUGACCUUUCCAGAGAGGAGCCUGCCUACUCCAGGAAAUAACUCUCCUUAACCCUUUCCCAUCUCUCAUCCUAAUUGUCCUGCCCUUCUGAGUGGACAACCUUGAACCAGUUCCAGAACUAAAAAAUUGGUGUUAACAUAAUGUCUGUUCGGCACCGCUGUACCCAGGACCUGUGGGGCUCUCUAGUUUUCCGGUCCGUGGUUGCAGUUGCUCGUGAUGUGUUGCUGCCCCCAGGUGGCCACACUGAGGAGGGCGUGCCCCUGCUGGGGUUAGGGGAUCCUCCUAACUCCACACCUUCCACAGAAGCAGCACAAGAAACACCGGCUGGAAUACCUCCCUGGAAAAUUCUUCUCUUUCAAGAUCCAGCUGAGAGGUUAUCUGCUGUGGAGACUUCUUAACUUCCCUGGGCAGAGUUGGCGCGAUGGCCCCUGCUCUCCAAUAGCACUUUCACAUCUUUGAAGUAGUGCUUAGUAAAUUCUCCUGACAUUUA